rnacentral:rRNA from 1 species
CACAAGCGGUGGAGCAUGUGGUUUAAUUCGAAGCAACGCGAAGAACCUUACCAGGUCUUGACAUCCUUUUGAAUGGUCUAGAGAUAGAUCAGGCCUUCGGGACAGAAGAGACAGGUGGUGCAUGGUUGUCGUCAGCUCGUGUUGUGAGAUGUUGGGUUAAGUCCCGCAACGAGCGCAACCCUUAUCAUUAGUUGCUAACAUUCAGUUGAGAACUCUAAUGAGACUGCCAGUGAUAAACUGGAGGAAGGUGGGAUGACGUCAAAUCAUCAUGCCCCUUAUGACCUGGGCUACACACGUGCUACAAUGGCCGGUACAAAGAGUUGCGAAACUGUGAAGUUAAGCUAAUCUCAUAAAGCCGGUCUCAGUUCGGAUUGUAGUCUGCAACUCGACUACAUGAAGUCGGAAUCGCUAGUAAUCGCGAAUCAGAAUGUCGCGGUGAAUACGUUCUCGAGUCUU